GACGUUGGGCUCCUGGCGAACCUCUCGGCGCUGGCAGAGCUGGAUAUAAGCAACAACAAGAUUUCUACGUUAGAAGAAGGAAUAUUUGCUAAUUUAUUUAAUUUAAGUGAAAUAAACCUGAGUGGGAACCCGUUUGAGUGUGACUGUGGCCUGGCGUGGCUGCCGCGAUGGGCGGAGGAGCAGCAGGUGCGGGUGGUGCAGCCCGAGGCAGCCACGUGUGCUGGGCCUGGCUCCCUGGCUGGCCAGCCUCUGCUUGGCAUCCCCUUGCUGGACAGUGGCUGUGGUGAGGAGUAUGUCGCCUGCCUCCCUGACAACAGCUCAGGCACCGUGGCAGCAGUGUCCUUUUCAGCUGCCCACGAAGGCCUGCUUCAGCCAGAGGCCUGCAGCGCCUUCUGCUUCUCCACCGGCCAGGGCCUCGCAGCCCUCUCCGAGCAGGGCUGGUGCCUGUGUGGGUCAGCCCAGCCCUCCAGUGCCUCCUUCGCCUGCCUGUCCCUCUGCUCCGGCCCCCCGCCGCCUCCUGCCCCCACCUGUAGGGGCCCCACCCUCCUCCAGCACGUCUUCCCUGCCUCCCCAGGGGCCACCCUGGUGGGGCCCCACGGACCCCUGGCCUCCGGCCAGCUAGCAGCCUUCCACAUCGCUGCCCCGCUCCCUGUCACUGCCACACGCUGGGACUUCGGAGACGGCUCCCCCGAGGUGGAUGCCGCUGGGCCGGCUGCCUCGCAUCGCUAUGUGCUGCCUGGGCGCUAUCACGUGACGGCCGUGCUGGCCCUGGGGACCGGCUCAGCCCUGCUGGGGACAGACGUGCAGGUGGAAGCGGCACCUGCCGCCCUGGAGCUCGUGUGCCCGUCCUCGGUGCAGAGUGACGAGAGCCUCGACCUCAGCAUCCAGAACCGCGGUGGUUCAGGCCUGGAGGCCGCCUACAGCAUCGUGGCCCUGGGCGAGGAGCCGGCCCGAGCGGUGCACCCGCUCUGCCCCUCGGACACGGAGAUCUUCUCUGGCAAUGGGCACUGCUACCGCCUGGUGGUGGAGAAGGCGGCCUGGCUGCAGGCGCAGGAGCAGUGUCGGGCCUGGGCCGGGGCCACCCUGGCAAUGGUGGACAGUCCCGCCGUGCAGCGCUUCCUGGUCUCCCGGGUCACCAGGGGGUGGAGGUGGGCCCAGCGCCGCAGGGCGAGGCCUUCAGCCUGGAGAGCUGCCAGAACUGGCUGCCCGGGGAGCCACACCCAGCCACAGCCGAGCACUGCGUCCGGCUCGGGCCCACCGGGUGGUGUAACACCGACCUGUGCUCAGCGCCGCACAGCUACGUCUGCGAGCUGCGGCCUGGAGGCCCAGUGCAGGAUGCCGAGAACCUCCUCGUGGGAGCGCCCAGUGGGGACCUGUAGGGACCCCUGAUGCCUCUGGCACGGCAGGACGGCCUCUCAGCCCCGCACGAGCCCGUGGAGGUCAUGGUAUUCCCGGGCCUGCGUCUGAGCCGUGAAGCCUUCCUCACCACGGCCGAAUUUGGGACCCAGGAGCUCCGGCGGCCCGCCCAGCUGCGGCUGCAGGUGUACCGGCUCCUCAGCACAGCAGGGACCCCGGAGAACGGCAGCGAGCCUGAGAGCAGGUCCCCGGACAACAGGACCCAGCUGGUCCCCGCGUGCAUGCCAGGGGGACGCUGGUGCCCUGGAGCCAACAUCUGCUUGCCGCUGGACGCCUCCUGCCACCCCCAGGCCUGCGCCAAUGGCUGCACGUCAGGGCCAGGGCUACUCGGGGCCCCCUAUGCGCUAUGGAGAGAGUUCCUCUUCUCCGUUCCCGCGGGGCCCCCCGCGCAGUACUCGGUCACCCUCCACAGCCAGGAUGUCCUCAUGCUCCCUGGUGACCUCGUUGGCUUGCAGCACGACGCUGGCCCUGGCGCCCUCCUGCACUGCUCGCCGGCUCCCGGCCACCCUGGUCCCCAGGCCCCGUACCUCUCCGCCAACGCCUCGUCAUGGCUGCCCCACUUGCCAGCCCAGCUGGAGGGCACUUGGGCCUGCCCUGCCUGUGCCCUGCGGCUGCUUGCAGCCACGGAACAGCUCACCGUGCUGCUGGGCCUGAGGCCCAACCCUGGGCUGCGGCUGCCUGGGCGCUAUGAGGUCCGGGCAGAGGUGGGCAAUGGCGUGUCCAGGCACAACCUGUCCUGCAGCUUUGACGUGGUCUCCCCAGUGGCUGGGCUGCGGGUCAUCUACCCUGCCCCCCGCGACGGCCGCCUCUACGUGCCCACCAACGGCUCAGCCUCGGUGCUCCAGGUGGACUCUGGUGCCAGCGCCACGGCCACGGCUCGCUGGCCUGGGGGCAGUGUCAGCGCCCGCUUUGAGAAUGCCUGCCCUGCCCUGGUGGCCACCUUCGUGCCCGGCUGCCCCUGGGAGACCAAUGAUACCCUGUUCUCAGUGGUAGCACUGCCGUGGCUCGGUGAGGGGGAGCACGUGAUGGACGUUGUGGUGGAAAACAGCGCCAGCCGGGCCAACCUCAGCCUGCGGGUGACGGCGGAGGAGCCCAUCUGUGGCCUCCGCGCCACGCCCAGCCCCGAGGCCCGUGUACUGCAGGGAGUCCCAGUGAGGUACAGCCCCGUGGUGGAGGCCGGCUCGGACAUGGUCUUCCGGUGGACCAUCAACGACAAGCAGUCCCUGACCUUCCAGAACGUGGUCUUCAAUGUCAUUUAUCAGAGCGCGGCGGUCUUCAAGCUCUCAGACGCUGCCAUGGCUGUGCUGACGGCCUCCAACCACGUGAGCAACGUCACCGUGAACUACAACAUCACCGUGGAGCGGAUGAACAGGAUGCAGGGCCUGCGGGUCUCUACAGUGCCAGCCGUGCUGUCCCCCAAUGCCACGCUGGCACUGACGGCGGGCGUGCUGGUGGACUCGGCCGUGGAGGUGGCCUUCCUGUGGACCUUUGGGGAUGGGGAGCAGGCCCUCCACCAGUUCCAGCCUCCGUACAACGAGUCCUUCCCGGUUCCAGACCCCUCGGUGGCCCAGGUGCUGGUGGAGCACAAUGUCACCCACACCUACGCUGCCCCAGGUGCUGAUCCGCAGUGGCCGGGUGCCCAUUGUGUCCUUGGAGUGUGUGUCCUGCAAGGCACAGGCCGUGUACGAAGUGAGCCGCAGCUCCUACGUGUACCUGGAGGGCCGCUGCCUCAAUUGCAGCAGCGGCUCCAAGCGAGGGCGGUGGGCUGCACGUACGUUCAGCAACAAGACGCUGGUGCUGGAUGAGACCACCACAUCCACGGGCAGCGCAGGCAUGUGACUGGUGCUGCGGCGGGGCGUGCUGCGGGACGGCGAGGGAUACACCUUCACGCUGACGGUGCUGGGCCGCUCUGGCAAGGAGGAGGGCUGCGCCUCCAUCCCCCUGUCCCCCAACCGCCCGCCGCUGGGGGGCUCUUGCCGCCUCUUCCCACUGGGCGCUGUGCACGCUCUCACCACCAAGGUGCACUUCGAAUGCAUGGGCUGGCAUGACGCGGAGGAUGCUGGCGCCCCGCUGGUGUACGCCCUGCUGCUGCAGCGCUGUCGCCAGGGCCACUGCGAGGAGUUCUGUGUCUACAAGGGCAGCCUCUCCGGCUACGGAGCCGUGCUGCCCCCGGGUUUCAGGCCACACUUCGAGGUGGGCCUGGCCGUGGUGGUGCAGGACCAGCUGGGAGCCGCUGUGGUCGCCCUCAACAGGUCUCUGGCCAUCACCCUCCCAGAGCCCAACGGCAGCGCAAUGGGGCUCACAGUCUGGCUGCACGGGCUCACCGCUAGUGUGCUCCCGGGGCUGCUGCGGCAGGCCGAUCCCCAGCACGUCAUCGAGUACUCGCUGGCCCUGGUCACUGUGCUGAACGAGUACGAGCGGGCCCUGGACGUGGCGGCAGAGCCCAAGCACGAGCGGCAGCGCCGAGCCCAGAUACGCAAGAACAUCACGGAGACUCUGGUGUCCCUGAGGGUCCACACUGUGGAUGACAUCCAGCAGAUCGCUGCUGCGCUGGCCCAGUGCAUGGGGCCCAGCAGGGAGCUCGUAUGCCGCUCGUGCCUGAAGCAGACGCUGCACAAGCUGGAGGCCAUGAUGCGCAUCCUGCAGGCAGAGACCACCGCGGGCACCGUGACGCCCACCGCCAUCGGAGACAGCAUCCUCAACAUCACAGGAGACCUCAUCCACCUGGCCAGCUCAGACGUGCGGGCACCGCAGCGCUCAGAGCUGGGAGCCGAGUCACCAUUGCGGAUGGUGGCGUCCCAGGCCUACAACCUGACCUCUGCCCUCAUGCGCAUCCUCACGCGCUCCCGCGUGCUCAACGAGGAGCCCGUGACGCUGGCGGGCGAGGAGAUCAUGGCCCAGGGCAAGCGCUCGGACCCGCGGAGCCUGCUGUGCUAUGGCGGCGCCCCAGGGCCUGGCUGCCACCUCUCCAUCCCCUAGGCUUUCAGCAGGGCCCCCGCCAACCUCAGUGACGUGGUGCAGCUCGUCUUUCUGGUGGACUCCAAUCCCUUUCUCUUUGGCUAUAUCAGCAACUACACCGUCUCCACCAAGGUGGCCUCGAUGGCGUUCCAGACACAGGCCGGCGCCCAGAUCCCCAUCGAGCGGCUGGCCUCAGAGCGCGCCAUCACCGUGAAGGUGCCCAACAACUCGGACUGGGCUGCCCGGGGCCACCGCAGCUCCGCCAACUCCGUUGUGGUCCAGCCCCAGGCCUCCGUCGGUGCUGUGGUCACCCUGGACAGCAGCAGCCCUGUGGCCGUGCUGCAUCUGCAGCUCAACUAUACGCUGCUGGACGGCCGCUACCUGUCUGAGGAACCCGAGCCCUACCUGGCAGUCUACCUGCACUCGGAGCCCCGGCCCAAUGAGCGCAACUGCUCGGCUAGCAGGAGGAUCCGCCCAGAGUCCCUCCAGGGUGCCGACCACCGGCCCUACACCUUCUUCAUUUCCCCGGGGACCAGAGACCCAGUGGGGAGUUACCGUCUGAACCUCUCCAGCCACUUCCGCUGGUCGGCGCUGGAGGUGUCCGUGGGCUUGUACACGUCCCUGUGCCAGUACUUCAGCGAGGAGGAUGUGGUGUGGCGGACAGAGGGGCUGCUGCCCCUGGAGGAGACCUCGCCCCGCCAGGCCGUCUGCCUCACCCGCCACCUCACCGCCUUCGGCGCCAGCCUCUUCAUGCCCCCAAGCCAUGUACGCUUUGUGUUUCCUGAGCCGACAGCGGAUGUAAACUACAUCGUCAUGCUGACAUGUGCUGUGUGCCUGGUGACCUACAUGGUCAUGGCCGCCAUCCUGCACAAGCUGGACCAGUUGGAUGCCAGCCGGGGCUGCGCCAUCCCCUUCUGUGGGCAGCGGGGCCGCUUCAAGUACGAGAUCCUCGUCAAGACAGGCUGGGGCCGGGGCUCAGGUACCACGGCCCACGUGGGCAUCAUGCUGUAUGGGGUGGACAGCCGGAGCGGCCACCGGCACCUGGACGGCGACAGAGCCUUCCACCGCAACAGUCUGGACAUCUUCCGGAUCGCCACCCCGCACAGCCUGGGUAGCGUGUGGAAGAUCCGAGUGUGGCACGACAACAAAGGGCUCAGCCCUGCCUGGUUCCUGCAGCACAUCAUCGUCAGGGACCUGCAGACGGCACGCAGCACCUUCUUCCUGGUCAAUGACUGGCUUUCGGUGGAGACGGAGGCCAACGGGGGCCUGGUGGAGAAGGAGGUGCUGGCUGCGAGUCACGCAGCCCUGUUGCGCUUCCGGCGCCUGCUGGUGGCUGAGCUGCAGCGUGGCUUCUUUGACAAGCACAUCUGGCUCUCCAUAUGGGACCGGCCACCUCGUAGCUGUUUCACUCGCAUCCAGAGGGCCACCUGCUGCGUUCUCCUCAUCUGCCUCUUCCUGGGCGCCAACGCCGUGUGGUACGGGGCUGUUGGUGACUCUGCCUACAGCACGGGGCAUGUGUCCAGGCUGAGCCCGCUGAGCGUCGACACAGUCGCUGUUGGCCUGGUGUCCAGCGUGGUUGUCUAUCCCGUCUACCUGGCCAUCCUCUUUCUCUUCCGGAUGUCCCGGAGCAAGGUUAUCAAUACUCUGGCUGACCAUCGUCAUCGUGGGACUGACUUUGGUGGAAGUCCUUGGUUACUUAUCAUUACUGUGUUUCUGAGAAGUUAUAAAUUUGCCAUCUCCCUCUGCACAAGUUACCUUUGUGUGUCUUUCCUGAAGACUAUCUUCCCAUCUCAAAAUGGACAUGAUGGAUCCACGGAUGUACAGCAGAGAGCCAGGAGGUCCAACCGCCGUAGACAGGAAGGAAUUAAAAUUGUCCUGGAAGACAUCUUUACUUUAUGGAGACAGGUGGAAACCAAAGUUCGAGCUAAAAUCCGUAAGAUGAAGGUGACAACAAAAGUCAACCGUCAUGACAAAAUCAAUGGAAAGAGGAAGACCGCCAAAGAACAUCUGAGGAAACUAAGCAUGAAAGAACGUGAGCACAGAGAAGAGGAGAGGCAGGUGUCAGAGGCAGAGGAAAAUGGGAAAUUGGAUAUGAAAGAAAUACACACCUACAUGGAAAUGUUUCAACGUGCGCAAGCGUUGCGGCGGCGGGCAGAGGACUACUACAGAUGCAAAAUCACCCCUUCUGCAAGAAAGCCUCUUUGCAACCGGGUCAGAAUGGCGGCAGUGGAGCAUCGUCAUUCUUCAGGAUUGCCCUACUGGCCCUACCUCACAGCUGAAACUUUAAAAAACAGGAUGGGCCACCAGCCACCUCCUCCAACUCAACAACAUUCUAUAAUUGAUAACUCCCUGAGCCUCAAGACACCUUCCGAGUGUGUGCUCUAUCCCCUUCCACCCUCAGCGGAUGAUAAUCUCAAGACACCUCCCGAGUGUCUGCUCACUCCCCUUCCACCCUCAGCUCUACCCUCAGCGGAUGAUAAUCUCAAGACACCUGCCGAGUGCCUGCUCUAUCCCCUUCCACCCUCAGCGGAUGAUAAUCUCAAGACACCUCCCGAGUGUCUGCUCACUCCCCUUCCACCCUCAGCUCCACCCUCAGCGGAUGAUAAUCUCAAGACACCUCCUGAGUGUGUCUGCUCACUCCCCUUCCACCCUCAGCGGAUGAUAAUCUCAAGAAACUAAGGAAGAAUAAAUAAAUAAUAUAAAAAUAAAAUGAAUACUGCAGUCCUUA